rnacentral:rRNA from 1 species
UACGGAAGGUAGCAGUGGGGAAUAUUGCACAAUGGGCGCAAGCCUGAUGCAGCCAUGCCGCGUGUAUGAAAAGGCCUUCGGGUUGUAAAGUACUUUCAGUCGUGAGGAAGGUGUUAAGGUUAAUAACCUUAGCAAUUGACGUUAGCGACAGAAGAAGCACCGGCUAACUCCGUGCCAGCAGCCGCGGUAAUACGGAGGGUGCGAGCGUUAAUCGGAAUUACUGGGCGUAAAGGGCACGCAGGCGGUUAAUUAAGUUGGAUGUGAAAUCCCCGGGCUUAACCUGGGAAUGGCAUUCAAGACUGGUUAGCUAGAGUCUUGUAGAGGGGGUAGAAUUCCGAUGUGUAGCGGUGAAAUGCGUAGAGAUGUGGAGGAAUACCGGUGGCGAAGGCGGCCCCUGGACAAAGACUGACGCUCAUGUGCGAAAGCGUGGGGAGCAAACAGGGAUUAGAUACC